rnacentral:rRNA from 1 species
AUUGAACGCUGGCGGCGUGCCUAAUACAUGCAAGUCGAACGAAGUGGCGGACGGGUGGGUAAGAUAUAGCUAAUCUGCCCUCCACAGAGGAACAAAAGCUGGAAACGGCUGCUAAUACCACAUAGUGUAGGAUGAGACUAUAUCGUAUCAGCUAGUUGGUAAGGUAAUGGCUUACCAAGGCUAUGACGCGUAACUGGUGGGAGAGGAUGAUCAGGCACAUUGGAAGGGAGACACCGUCGGAACUCCUACGGGAGGGAGCAGUAAGGAAUAUUGCGCAAUGGGGGAAACCGUGACGGAGCAUCGCGGCGUGGAGUAUGACACUUUUCGGAGCGUAAACUACUUUUAUUAGGAAAGCGGUACCUGAAGAAUAAGCACCGGCUAACUCCGUGCCAGCAGCCGCGGUAAUAC